AUGGAGUGCAUGGUCUGCUAUAGGAAGCAUCGCCUGGCUCCUCCGCUGUGCUUUGGUACAGAUGCAGGACAGCGAAGGGUGCCGAGGAGUGCUGUGGUUUGGGACAUUGUGUCUUCAGGGGCUGCGCUUUCUGGGCACAGCUUGGGCAGGACGCGGGGAAAUGCCUGUGGUCCUCGGGGCCACCCAGCUGGGCUGGCAGAGAACACCAAGCUGCUCCAGCGCCUGGGGCACCCAGCCCUCCCCGAGCACCAGCACGGAGAAGAGCUCAGCCACCACCCCGAGCAGGGCCACGUCCCACCCGCGUCGAGGCUCUCAGAGAAUGUGGCGAGCAGCGAGGAAGCACAGAGGCAUGCCCUAUCUGUCAUCAGCGAGAGGCCGCCGGGAGGAGGAGCGGGACCAAGCCCAAGGUUUGUGCUCCACGGGUCCCCAAGUGACCCCAGCAAGCGGCGGCAGCACCACGGACUGAAACGCCUCGUUCCUUCUCGUUCUGGGACCGUCUGCCCUCCUCCUCCUCUCCCAGACAAGGACGCGUGCUUCUGGGAGGUAUCUGCCAUGCUCAUGAGGGACUCCUUAAAAACAAGUCAAAAAGACAAGUCAAAAAGACAAGCUCUUUGGUCUGCGGAGACUGCAGAUGGGAGCCAGAAAAUCUGCCGAGCAAAAGAGGCCAGGAGAGAGGGGGAUGGCCAUCGCUGGGGCAGUUGCGCAGUGCCAGAAAUAGGGGACGGACUGCUGGGGUCCUGCAGGGACAGGGUUUGCUUUGCUGGCAGAGCAAGCACAGCCCUAACUCCUGCAGGAGCAGCCGCCCAUCACCCUUGCCCUUGGGUAGGGCACAGGGAGCAGAGAGGUUUGCAUGGCCCUGGGCUUCCCGCACAGCAGCAGGGCACAAAGCGGCGCCCAGCGCCUUGCAGGAUGCCCCUGCCCGACUCAGGACCCCGUGGUCCUGCUGCUCUGGGCUCCCUGCCCACCACACCAGCACCUGCCCCAGGCACCACUGCAGCUCCCCAUUGGCUUCAGGCCCGAAGUGCUGACGAGGCUCUCCAGGGUGUGAGGAGGAGGAGGAGGAGGAGGAGGAGGAGGAUGCUGUGCUCAGCCUCGGCACAGCGCCCGAGCCACCCCAGGCAGCGCCGCGGGGAGCCCAGUGACGUUACCCGCCCCGAGCUGCCCAGCAUCUCGAGAUAA
rnacentral:lncRNA from 1 species